UACGGAGGGUGCAAGCGUUAUCCGGAUUCACUGGGUUUAAAGGGUGCGUAGGUGGGUUGGUAAGUCAGUGGUGAAAUCUCCGAGCUUAACUUGGAAACUGCCAUUGAUACUAUCAGUCUUGAAUACCGUGGAGGUCAGCGGAAUAUGUCAUGUAGCGGUGAAAUGCUUAGAUAUGACAUAGAACACCAAUUGCGAAGGCAGCUGGCUACACGAGUAUUGACACUGAGGCACGAAAGCGUGGGGAUCAAACAGG
rnacentral:rRNA from 1 species